CCAGACUCCUACGGGAGGCAGCAGUGGGGAAUCUUCCGCAAUGGGCGAAAGCCUGACGGAGCAACGCCGCGUGAUCGAAUGAAGGCCUUCGGGUUGUAAAGAUCUGUUGACAGGGACGAAUAAGCAAUGCGAAUAGUUUUGUGUAUGACGGUACCUGUUUAGAAAGCUCCGGCUAACUACGUGCCAGCAGCCGCGGUAAUACGUAGGGAGCAAGCGUUGUCCGGAAUUACUGGGCGUAAAGGGCGCGUAGGCGGCCUGCCAAGUCUGAUGUGAAAUACCGGGGCUCAACCCCGGGGCUGCAUUGGAAACUGGCAGGCUGGAGUGUCGGAGAGGCAGGCGGAAUUCCUAGUGUAGCGGUGAAAUGCGUAGAUAUUAGGAGGAACACCAGUGGCGAAGGCGGCCUGCUGGACGAUGACUGACGCUGAGGCUCGAAAGCGUGGGGAGCAAACAGGAUUAGAUACCCUAGUACC
rnacentral:rRNA from 1 species